UACGUAGGGUGCAAGCGUUGUCCGGAAUUAUUGGGCGUAAAGAGCUCGUAGGCGGUUUGUCGCGUCUGCUGUGAAAUCUGGGGGCUCAACCCCCAGCCUGCAGUGGGUACGGGCAGACUAGAGUGCGGUAGGGGAGAUUGGAAUUCCUGGUGUAGCGGUGGAAUGCGCAGAUAUCAGGAGGAACACCGGUGGCGAAGGCGGGUCUCUGGGCCGAUACUGACGCUGAGGAGCGAAAGCGUGGGGGAGCGAACAGG
rnacentral:rRNA from 1 species